rnacentral:rRNA from 1 species
CGAACGGGUGCGUAACACGUGAGCAACCUGCCUUUGUGUGGGGGAUAGCCGGCCCAACGGCCGGGUAAUACCGCAUACGUUCUCGACAGGGAGUCCUGUUGAGAGGAAACCUCCGGGGCACAAAGAGGGGCUCGCGGCCUAUCAGCUAGUUGGCGAGGUAACGGCUCACCAAGGCGACGACGGGUAGCUGGUCUGAGAGGAUGGCCAGCCACAUUGGGACUGAGAUACGGCCCAG